UCUAUUUGGAAAUUGUUUUAGGU
rnacentral:snRNA from 1 species